rnacentral:lncRNA from 15 species
GUUUAAUAUUAUUUAUGAAAACUUGAUUAAAUUGAAUCAAGAAAUUUAGCAAUUAUUUUAACAGUUGCCCAUAGGCCUGGAGUCACACAGUAUGGUACUCAGUGUGGUUUGACUGACCCUAUAGGCCACACACACAAAAUGUACAAAAUAUAACAUUUUAAAAAGGAUAAAUAAAUAAAAGACCUACAAUGACUGACAUCACAUACUACAGUGCCACAUACCAUGGCUUUAUAUGCACUGUACAUAGUGAUAAAAUUCUAUGCUUUAUAACUUUAUGUUACAGAUUUUACAUAUAAAAUAUACAAACAGUUUACUUCAUUCAGCAGACUUACUGUGUAUAUUAGCAAAGUACAAUUGUUUACACGCCACAGAUUUAAGCCCAUGUUAACUGCCACUGUCUACUCCCACUGAACACAAAGACAUGAGGCAUUGUUUGUCAAAUGAUACAAUAGUCACACCAUGGCCAGUGUUAGGGCUAAUAAGAAAUUGCUUCAGAGAGAGCUGUGAUGACAGAUAAGUUCUGCAAUCUACUGCAGCCCACCACUGCUUCAGCACCUUCAACAGCGCUGCUCCACUCAGUAACUCCACACACAUAACAGACUGUCAAAGAGCAAUCAUACCAACCACUGAGCGCCAGAAUACAACAAGAUGAUGUGACGGUGCAAACUGCAGUUUAUGAAAAGAGUAUCACAUAAAGAGAUGAAUACAUAACAGGAACGAUGUUCAUAAUAAGCAUCACAAGCUGUGCAAACAGGCCAAAAAGAAAAAAAACUACAGCUAUGAACAAACAUACACUCCCUAAACGGUGCUACACUGCUCAGAGUUGCAGUAAUGGAAUACAGGUUUCAAUGUGAGAGGAGUUUCUUCAUUGACCUUUUGUGCGCAAACAGAUCCAUCAAAGUCCGUCAACAUCAUCAUGUGGGAUUCAGUAGCCAGCCUUGACAAAGCAGAGAGAUUCUGGGUCAUCACACUCCUUCUGGGUGUGAUUACGUUUUUAUUGUCACAACAGCAAUAUGUAGGCAAAUCUACUGAUGGAGGCCACACAUGCUGAGCAGAAUCAUCACAGCCCUGACAAGGACGGAGGAUGAGGAAAAAUAAGGUAAGAAUAGAGUAGAGAGGGUGCGGGAAAAAAAAGAUGCUAGGUCAACUGUAAUUCAAAACAGUUUCCUGAAUGUCUUCUAAGAAACAAGAGCAUGUUAACACUUGCCCCACAUGUGAACCACCACUAGGGGUGGGCGAUAUGGGCAAAAAAUAAUAUCUCAAUAUUUUUUGGGAUUUUGGCGAUAACGAUAAUCCAAACGCG